rnacentral:rRNA from 1 species
AACGAACGCUGGCAGCGCGCCUAAUACAUGCAAGUCGAACGAGAAGCUGUAGCAAUACAGUUGUACAGUGGCGAACGGGUGAGGAAUACAUGGGUGACCUACCCUCGAGUGGGGAAUAACCAGCCGAAAGGUUGGCUAAUACCGCGUACGCUUCCCAGUCUACGGGUUGGGAAGGAAAGCGAUGCCGUGGGUAUCGCGCUCAAGGUUGGGCUCAUGUCCUAUCAGCUGGUUGGUGGGGUAACGGCUCACCAAGGCAACGACGGGUAGCUGGUCUGAGAGGACGAUCAGCCACACUGGCACUGCGACACGGGCCAGACUCCUACGGGAGGCAGCAGUAAGAUAUUGCGCAAUGGCGAAAGCCUGACGCAGCGACGCCGCGUGGGGGAUGAAGGUCUU